rnacentral:rRNA from 1 species
CAAACUGGAGAUGGCGACCGGCGCACGGGUGAGUAACACGUAUCCAACCUGCCGAUAACUCGGGGAUAGCCUUUCGAAAGAAAGAUUAAUACCCGAUGGCAUAAUAGAACCGCAUGGUUUGAUUAUUAAAGAAUUUCGGUUAUCGAUGGGGAUGCGUUCCAUUAGGCAGUUGGUGGGGUAACGGCCCACCAAACUUUCGAUGGAUAGGGGUUCUGAGAGGAAGGUCCCCCACAUUGGAACUGAGACACGGUCCAAACUCCUACGGGAGGCAGCAUG